rnacentral:rRNA from 1 species
AUUGAACGCUGGCGGCAUGCUCUACACAUGCAAGUCGAACGGUAACAGGCCGCGAGGUGCUGACGAGUGGCGAACGGGUGAGUAAUGCAUCGGAACGUGCCCAGUCGUGGGGGAUAACUACUCGAAAGAGUAGCUAAUACCGCAUACGAUCUAUGGAUGAAAGCGGGGGACCGUAAGGCCUGGCGCGAUUGGAGCGGACGAUGUCAGAUUAGGUAGUUGGUGGGGUAAAGGCUCACCAAGCCAACGAUCUGUAGGUGGUCUGAGAGGACGACCAGCCACACUGGGACUGUGACACGGCCCAGACUCCUACGGGAGGCAGCAGUGGGGAAUUUUGGACAAUGGGCGCAAGCCUGAUCCAGCAAUGCCGCGUGCAGGAAGAAGGCCUUCGGGUUGUAAACUGCUUUUGUACGGAACGAAACGGCUCUGGUUAAUACCCGGGGAUAAUGCCGGUACCGUAAGAAUAAGCACCGGCUAACUACGUG